rnacentral:piRNA from 1 species
UGACCCAUGAACCUCAGGCCACUGUGCUGC